CCCUUGGUAAGGGUGAGGUCGGCAGUUCGAAUCUGCCUAUCAGCACCA
rnacentral:tRNA from 1 species